rnacentral:rRNA from 1 species
AACGUUGAGUGUUAAGUAUUAGAUAGUGGCGGACGGGUGAGUAACGCGUGGGUAACCUACCCAUAAACCCGGGACAACCCUUGGAAACGAGGGCUAAUACCGGAUAAUCUUUUAGCUUGGCAUCAAGCGAUAAGAAAAGGUGGCCUCUGUAUAUGCUACCGAUUAUGGAUGGACCCGCGUCUGAUUAGCUAGUUGGUGGGGUAAAGGCCUCCCAAGGCGACGAUCAGUAGCCGGCCUGAGAGGGUGAACGGCCACACUGGGACUGAGACACGGCCCAGACUCCUACGGGAGGCAGCAGUGUUUUUCUUCCUCUUUGGACGAAAGUCUGACGGAGCAACGCCGCGUGUAUGAUGAAGGUCUUCGGAUUGUAA